GAAAAUAUAAGGGAUUUUGGCCUUUGGGUAUCUGGGUGUUGCAUUCUUCUGGUAUUAGUGAUAAGACCUACAAAGUGAAGCAAUGUGCAUCUAGAAUGAUGGUAAAUAUUCCUUGUUGGAUCUAUUGGCAAGGGCAACAAGUGUCUACGAAAAUAAAUUGAAUGUAUUAGUAUUGUAUUUUGAGAGCAAAAAUGGUGGAAAAGCAUCUUGUCCUUGUAAUUUGGUUUCCUCAUAGAUUGAAUAUUUCUUUUUCUGGGUUUUAGAUUUGUAAAGCAGAAGACCAUUUUUUGAAAAUAAUGUCAGCUAGUCUUUAAGUUUCUAAAUCAUUUAAGAAGAGUACUUGUGCUUACUUUGACCUUACUGCUGGAGUUCAUAUGACUGGUGCAUAUUCUCUGCUCCAAUUUUUUUUCAUUACAACAAUAUAUCAAGGUACUACUGUAUCGUUACCACUUUUCUUUGUGAGAUUAUAUCAAUUUGUUCGUAAUCGUUAGUGUUUCCUUAUAAUAUCUAUUAGCGAGUAGACAAUACCACUUUGCUGCUGGAAGUUUCCUAAUUGUGUCUUGAUAAUUUAAGCUGUCUGAGUUUGUGGGAUGAUAAUUCUGUCAAGAAACACCAACUUAAGUGAAGUCUUCAACCAUGUAAGCAGAAGAUUCUUGUUCCAAUCAGAAUGA